CACGAACCGUACAAACGUUAUUCGGAAUCACUGGGCUUAAAGGGUGCGUAGGCGGCCUGGUAAGUUGGGUGUGAAAUCCCUCGGCUCAACCGAGGAACUGCGCUCAAUACUGCCAGGCUUGAGGGAGACAGAGGUGAGCGGAACUUGCGGUGGAGCGGUGAAAUGCGUUGAUAUCGCAAGGAACACCUGUAGCGAAAGCGGCUCACUGGGUCUCUUCUGACGCUGAGGCACGAAAGCUGGGGGAGCGAACGGGAUUAGAUACCCUGGUA
rnacentral:rRNA from 1 species